rnacentral:ncRNA from 2 species
UUGAAUAUAUUAAAAAUAGGUUUAAUAGAUAUUGUAAUAUCUAUUAAUUAAAAGGGAAGUGGGUUUGAAUCCCACGCGGUCCCGCCACUGUAAUAGAUGAGUUCCUGCAAUUAUGCCACUGGGAAACUGGGAAGGCUGUAGGAAUGUUGAUACUUAAGCCAGAAGACCUGCCUGUUUUAGUAUACUAAU